CUGAAAACUGCGACAUGUGCUC
rnacentral:siRNA from 1 species